rnacentral:rRNA from 1 species
AGUGAACGCUGGCGGCGUGCCUAAUACAUGCAAGUCGAACGGAGUGGCGCACGGGUGAGUAAUGUAUAGCUAAUCUGCCCUACACUAGAGGACAACAGUUGGAAACGGCUGCUAAUACUCUAUAGUGUAGGAUGAGGCUAUAUUGUAUCAGCUAGUUGGUGAGGUAAUGGCUCACCAAGGCUAUGACGCAUAGCCGACCUGAGAGGGUGAUCGGCCACACUGGGACUGAGACACGGCCCAGACUCCUACGGGAGGCAGCAGUAGGGAAUCUUCGGCAAUGGACGAAAGUCUGACCGAGCAACGCCGCGUGAGUGAAGAAGGUUUUCGGAUCGUAAACUCCUUUUGUUAGGGAAGCGGUACCUAACGAAUAAGCACCGGCUAACUCCGUGCCAGCAGCCGCGGUAAUAC